rnacentral:pre_miRNA from 1 species
GUUGAGAGGAAUGUCGUCUGGCCCGAGAUCGCACCAUGGUGGGUACACGUAGACGGUCUCGGACCAGGCUUCAUUCCCCUCAAC